rnacentral:misc_RNA from 1 species
CCAAUAGCGUAUAUUAAAGUUGUUGCAGUUAAAAAGCUCGUAGUUGAAUUUCGGGAUCAAUACGUCGGUCGUGCUUUCGGGUACGUACUGGCGUCAUUGGUUUCUCCUUUCUGACGAACCAUGAUGUCAUUAAUUUGGUGUUAUGGGGAGUUAGGACUGUUACUUUGAAAAAAUUAGAGUGUUUAAAGCAGGCAUUAGCUUGAAUACAUUAGUAUGGAAUAAUGAAAUAGGACGUUCGAUCCUAUUUUGUUGGUUUCUAGGAUCAACGUAAUGAUUAAUAGGGAUAGUUGGGGGCAUUAGUAUUCAAUUGUCAGAGGUGAAAUUCUUGGAUUUAUUGAAGACUAACUACUGCGAAAGCAUUUGCCAAGGAUGUUUUCAUUAAUCAAGAACGAAAGUUAGGGGAUCGAAGACGAUCAGAUACCGUCGUAGUCUUAACCAUAAACUAUGCCGACUAGGGAUCGGAUGAUGUUAAUUUUUUAAUGACUCAUUCGGCGCCUUACG